AGACAUUGCAUGUUUCUUUUAAUGCUUGCCAUAUUCUCAUUCAUAUAUCAUUGUUUUUAUCCAACCAACCAUCCAUCCAUCCAUCCAUUAUCCUUACCAGUAAUCCUACACAUGGCACGGGGUGUCAACCCAUCACUAGGCACAAUCGCACACACUCGCACACUAUGGACAAUUUGAAAAUGGCUAUAAGCUUACAACGCAUGUCUUUGGACUGGGGAGGAAGCCGGAGUACCCAGAGGAAACCCCCUAGGCUCUGAUAGAACAUGCAACAUCACGCACACAAGACAGAGAUGGGACUUUAGCCCCCAACCCUGGAGGUCUGGGGCAAAUGUGCUAACCACUAAGCUUAUAACAUAAUUCACAGCAAAGGGGAAAAAUCUGUUUAAUCAGUACUCAUUUCUAUUGCCCGUUUAUUUCUAUCAUCCAUUUAUCUUUAAAGUGGAGGUCUAGAUGCUACUGAAGAACCUUGUCCUGAACAAUUCUACUCAACAACAAAAUUUGACAACCUUGAAGGCAAGAACUAUAUGCAGGCUCGUUUGGUGUCGCUAGCCAAGGGGAGGCACAACUAAGCUAUCAUUGUAUAGAACCACGUAGGACUGCCAGAUAGGCAGACGUUGAAGAAUUGGGCUAUAACUUCUGUCAAGAGGGAGCUGCUGGGGUAGUUGGCUGGGUGAAAUUGGACUCUGCCCAGGGAGGACUUACAGCUCUGUGGUUCUCCAUGUUGGAUAAGGUCUAAUUCAAAUGUACUGUCUCUCCAGAUUUGGCUGAGUUUGCUAUUAGUGCAGUAGUGGGCCAAACAGAGAUGUUGUGAUCUUAUUGGAUAUUUCAUUAGAAAGCACUAUUAGAUUCCAUACAGUGCCCUAUUGUCUGGUCUUCGACACACACACACACACACACACGCAUAUAUAUAUGUAUAUAUAUAUAAUAUACACACACACACAUACUCUGUGAUCCAGUUUUUGUGCUGAGUAUAAUAAAUUGGAAAUUUAAUGAUGUUGAAUGUUGUGGCUUCACAUGUAUUACCUAUUCACUGUGUAUCUGUAAGCUAUUGAGUGACAAGAUGCUGGAAAUAAAAGCAAACCAGAAACAAAUAAUAAAUAUAUAUCAGAUAAAAGACAUUCGCCAAACGAUGCAUGUAGAGUGCCAUCUACUGCAUAGCCUCAGAAUAAUGAAUAGAUAUACAAAAUAAAAACUAGAGGAAUGAAAU
ensembl:lncRNA